CUACGGGCUGCUGCAGUGGGGAAUAUUGCACAAUGGGCGCAAGCCUGAUGCAGCAACGCCGCGUGAGGGAUGAAGGCCUUCGGGUUGUAAACCUCUUUUAGCAGGGAAGAAGCGAAAGUGACGGUACCUGCAGAAAAAGCACCGGCUAACUACGUGCCAGCAGCCGCGGUAAUACGUAGGGUGCAAGCGUUGUCCGGAAUUAUUGGGCGUAAAGAGCUCGUAGGCGGUUUGUCACGUCUGCUGUGAAAAUCCAAGGCUCAACCUUGGACUUGCAGUGGGUACGGGCAGGCUAGAGUGCGGUAGGGGAGAUGGGAAUUCCUGGUGUAGCGGUGGAAUGCGCAGAUAUCAGGAGGAACACCAAUGGCGAAGGCACAUCUCUGGGCCGUAACUGACGCUGAGGAGCGAAAGCGUGGGGAGCGAACAGGAUUAGAUACCCUUUAGUC
rnacentral:rRNA from 1 species